rnacentral:rRNA from 1 species
GGAAUAUUGCACAAUGGGGGAAACCCUGAUGCAGCGACGCCGCGUGAGCGAUGAAGUAUCUCGGUAUGUAAAGCUCUAUCAGCAGGGAAGAAAGUGACAGUACCUGACUAAGAAGCCCCGGCUAACUACGUGCCAGCAGCCGCGGUAAUACGUAGGGGGCAAGCGUUAUCCGGAUUCACUGGGCGUAAAGGGAGCGCAGGCGGCACGGCAAGUCUGGUGUGAAAACCCGGGGCUCAACCCCGGGACUGCAUUGGAAACUGCCGGGCUGGAGUGUCGGAGGGGUAAGCGGAAUUCCUAGUGUAGCGGUGAAAUGCGUAGAUAUUAGGAGGAACACCAGUGGCGAAGGCGGCUUACUGGACGAUGACUGACGCUGAGGCUCGAAAGUGUGGGUAUCAAACAGG